rnacentral:tRNA from 1 species
GCUUAGCUCAGUGGUUAGAGCUUAGGUCUUGUGACCGGAAGGCCCCGGGAUCGAAUCUCGCCAGAGGCG